rnacentral:rRNA from 1 species
GAUGAACGCUAGCGGCAGGCCUAAUACAUGCAAGUCGAACGGUGUCUUCGGACAUAGUGGCGCACGGGUGCGUAACACGUAUGCAACCUACCUUACACUGGGGGAUAGCCUUUCGAAAGGGAGAUUAAUACCGCAUAAGACAGUAGCUGGGCAUCCAGCAGCUGUUAAAGAUUUAUCGAUGUAAGCUGGGCAUGCGUCCAAUUAGCUAGUUGGUGAGGUAACGGCUCACCAAGGCUAUGAUUGGUAGGGGAACUGAGAGGUCAAUCCCCCACACUGGCACUGAGAUACGGGCCAGACUCCUAUGGGAGGCAGCAGUAGGGAAUAUUGGGCAAUGGACGCAAGUCUGACCCAGCCAUGCCGCGUGCAGGAUGAAGGCGUUAUGCGUUGUAAACUGCUUUUAUACAGGAAGAAACGACUCUUGCGAGAGGCAUUGACGGUACUGUAUGAAUAAGCACCGGCUAACUCCGUGCCAGCAGCCGCCGUAACAC